AGGACGAACGCUGGCGGCGCGCCUAAAACAUGCAAGUCGAACGAGAAGCCCGGGCUUGCCCGGGUGGACAGUGGCGAACGGGUGAGUAACACGUGAGGAACCUGCCCCGAAGACCGGGACAACACCGGGAAACCGGUGCUAAUACCGGAUGUCUUCACCGGAUCGCAUGGUCUGGUGAAGAAAUGGAUUCCGCUUCGGGAUGGCCUCGCGGCCUAUCAGCUAGUUGGUGAGGUAACGGCUCACCAAGGCGACGACGGGUAGCUGGUCUGAGAGGAUGUCCAGCCACACUGGGACUGAGACACGGCCCAGACUCCUACGGGAGGCAGCAGUUAGGAAUCUUGGACAAUGGGGGAAACCCUGAUCCAGCCAUGCCGCGUGAGUGAUGAAGGCCUUCGGGUUGUAAAACUCUUUCGACGGGACGAUAAUGACGGUACCGUAGAAGAAGCUCCGGCUAACUUCGUGCUAGCAGCCGC
rnacentral:rRNA from 1 species